rnacentral:rRNA from 1 species
UACGAAGGGGGCUAGCGUUGCUCGGAAUCACUGGGCGUAAAGGGUGCGUAGGCGGGGCUUUAAGUCAGGGGUGAAAUCCUGGAGCUCAACUCCAGAACUGCCUUUGAUACUGAAGAUCUUGAGUUCGGGAGAGGUGAGUGGAACUGCGAGUGUAGAGGUGAAAUUCGUAGAUAUUCGCAAGAACACCAGUGGCGAAGGCGGCUCACUGGCCCGGUACUGACGCUGAGGCGCGAAAGCGUGGGGAGCAAACAGG